rnacentral:lncRNA from 10 species
UUUCAUUUUCAAAGUAUUUUAUUUAAAUAAAUUUUUCUUUUGUGUGUGUUUGAAUUUUACAGAAAAAAAUACUGACAAAUACUAUACAGCUUGGACCCUUUAUAUUUUUCUUGGAAAGGUGGCUGCCAUUUUUCUACCUUUCUCCCUCCCUGCUCCCCCCAAGAAAAAGAAACAUGGAAUCCAUUGAGCAAUGGGGAAAGGAGCAAUGGGGAAAGGCCUCCUCUGGCUGCCGUCCGGAGCCUGGCUAAAGCUGCUCAGAAGUCCAGGCCUAGGGGAUGUCUUUCUCGAGCCUGUGCUGGUCUAGGAAGCCUCUUCUUUAGGAAUCAUUUUUUUGUCCCCCGUGAACUUACCCUCCCCAGAUGAGUCAAGCAGUCUCUGGUCCUGAGGUCCCAUGGGUUGCCAGUGGCAGUUCAGGGACAGAGGCUGGAAGGAGUGAAAAUGGAGAGGAAUAAAGGGCUGGGGCUGGUCUGGUGCAGGCAGAAGAGGGAAUCAGAGAAGCAUAAAACAUGGAGAAAAAGAUGAGAAGGAAGGACUGAGAAGUGAGUUUCUGGGUGUUUCAUCCCUGGGGUGAGAGCAAGUCCAUUGGAUUAGGAGACAGCAGGGACAUUGUGCCUGGAGAUAGAGGCCUUGUCAUGGCAAUGACAACUGACUGCUGUCUUAAUUCAAAGGAGCAAGCAGUUGCCAUGGAAACCAUGUUACUUGUAUGGUCCCGGAUCCCGGUGAUCCGCCCUCCUAGAUCAUAUCUGACACUACGUCUCAGCUGUCAGCCUCCACCUCUCCCCAGCCAUCCAUUCUAGGGGG